GACGAACGCUGGCGGCGUGCUUAACACAUGCAAGUCGAACGGUAAGGCCCUUCGGGGUACACGAGUGGCGAACGGGUGAGUAACGCGUGAGUAACCUGCCCUUCACUCUGGGAUAACAGUUGGAAACGGCUGCUAAUACCGGAUAUUCAGCUCCUGUCGCAUGGUGGGGGUUGGAAAGUUUUGGUGGUGGAGGAUGGGCUCGCGUCCUAUCAGCUUGUUGGUGGGGUGAUGGCCUACCAAGGCGUCGACGGGUAGCCGGCCUGAGAGGGCGACCGGCCGCAUUGGGACUGAGAUACGGCCCAAACUCCUACGGGAGGCAGCAGUGGGGAAUAUUGCACAAUGGGCGGAAGCCUGAUGCAGCAACGCCGCGUGCGGGAUGACGGCCUUCGGGUUGUAAACCGCUUUCAGCAGGGACGAAGCGCAAGUGACGGUACCUGCAGAAGAAGCACCGGCUAACUACGUG
rnacentral:rRNA from 1 species